rnacentral:rRNA from 1 species
CAGCAGCCACGGGAAUACAGAGGGUGCAAGCGUUAAUCGGAAUUACUGGGCGUAAAGCGCGCGUAGGUGGUUCGCCAAGUUGGAUGUGAAAUCCCCGGGCUCAACCUGGGAACUGCAUCCAAAACUGGCGAGCUAGAGUAUGGUAGAGGGUGGUGGAAUUUCCUGUGUAGCGGUGAAAUGCGUAGAUAUAGGAAGGAACAUCAGUGGCGAAGGCGGCCACCUGGACUGAUACUGACACUGAGGUGCGAAAGCGUGGGGAGCAAACAGGAUUAGAUACCCCCGUAGUCCCUGUCUCUUAUAC